rnacentral:sRNA from 1 species
UGUAGCCAAGCUAGUGUAUUUCUGUGAUGCCGGUACCAACACCAUUGAAGUCAUGAGCACAGAUGGAAACAAUAGACGGGUUUUAUUUACUGACUACAGUUCUAGCUUUGAUGCUCUGACCAUCACUUCAAAAUAUAUUUUUUACUCAGACAAGAAUAAAAGGAGUAUCAUGCGCCUGAACCGUGACGGCACUAACCACAGAUCUUCUGGUCCACCGGACUUCCCUCAAGUUACUGGACUUUACGCUUUUGACAGCAUUCUAAAUUAAAUCUACCUAAGGCCUACUAAAUCUACCUAAGGCCUACUAAAUCUACCUAAGACCUACUAAAUCUACCUUAGGCCUACUAAAUCUACCUAAGGCCUACUAAAUCUGUAUACUGCAACUUGUACUACAAGAAAGAUAUUGUUAGUUAAGUGUUACAUGAAAUAAAAUCGAUGAAACCAAUUA